CAAUUAUACGGCGAAACUGCGAAUGGCUCAUUAUAUAAGUUAUCGUUUAUUUGAUAGCACUUUACUACUUGGAUAACCGUGGUAAUUCUAGAGCUAAUACAUGCUAAAAAUCCCGACUUCGGAAGGGAUGUAUUUAUUAGAUUAAAAGCCAAUGCCCUCUGGGCUCUCUGGUGAAUCAUGAUAACUGCUCGAAUCGCAGGGCCUCGUGCCGGCGAUGGUUCAUUCAAAUUUCUUCCCUAUCAACUUUCGAUGUUUGGGUAUUGGCCAAACAUGGUUACAACGGGUAACGGAGGGUUAGGGCUCGACCCCGGAGAAGGAGCCUGAGAAACGGCUACUACAUCCAAGGAAGGCAGCAGGCGCGCAAAUUACCCAAUCCCGACACGGGGAGGUAGUGACAAUAAAUACUGAUACAGGGCUCUUUCGGGUCUUGUAAUUGGAAUGAGUACAAUUUAAAUCCCUUAACAAGGAACAAUUGGAGGGCAAGUCUGGUGCCAGCAGCCGCGGUAAUUCCAGCUCCAAUAGCGUAUAUUAAAGUUGUUGUGGUUAAAAAGCUCGUAGUUGACCCUUGGGCCUGGCUGGCCGGUCCGCCUCACCGCGUGUACUGGUCCGGCCGGGCCUUUCCCUCUGUGGAACCCCAUGCCCUUCACUGGGCGUGGCGGGGAAACAGGACUUUUACUUUGAAAAAAUUAGAGUGCUCCAGGCAGGCCUAUGCUCGAAUACAUUAGCAUGGAAUAAUAGAAUAGGACGUGCGGUUCUAUUUUGUUGGUUUCUAGGACCGCCGUAAUGAUUAAUAGGGACAGUCGGGGGCAUCAGUAUUCAAUUGUCAGAGGUGAAAUUCUUGGAUCUAUUGAAGACUAACUACUGCGAAAGCAUUUGCCAAGGAUGUUUUCAUUAAUCAAGAACGAAAGUUAGGGGAUCGAAGACGAUCAGAUACCGUCGUAGUCCUGACCGUAAACUAUGCCGACUAGGGAUCGGACGAUGUUAUUUUUUGACUCGUUCGGCACCUUACGAGAAAUCAAAGUG
rnacentral:rRNA from 1 species